rnacentral:lncRNA from 1 species
AACCUAAACAAUGCCUCACUUUAAUUCUGCAUAACAUUUUUUAGCCUGCUAGAGUCCUGCACACACACUUAAGGCAAGCCUCUUACAUUGAUGCACUGGACUAAGAGACUGUGUUUUGUUUGUCUCUCUCCAAAGCUGUGGAUUGUCUGCAAGACCGCUGAACUCUGAUUAGAGCGGCUUUCCUUCCGAAGCCAGGAGCAUCUGCUUCUGAAAGUGCCCUUUCCUUCCCCUCCCUCCCAGAGUCCCCCCUCUUCAGAAAGUCCCACUUCUACACACCCAGGGCCUGGGAACAGGGAAUAUUCCUGAACUUGGGCUUGUCUUCACAGAGCCCUGUUGCCAGUUCAGCUCUCUGAAAUGCUGCUUUCCGAUGAGAAAACAGACGGGACUCAGUGCUGCCUGCAAUUUACAUUUCCCUCAAAAGCUCUAUGUUCUUGCAACACUGUUCCCCAAGCCCACGGCAAGUGGCAGCAGGAAAAGAAACAAUAGAGAAGAUAGAACUGAGAACCAGAGAAGUUGAGUGACUACAUCCCACAGCCAGUUGAAGAGCAGUGGCUGGAAGAGACUCACCAUUGCCUGGUAUUUCCAGACCAUUAGGACUCACCAUGUGUCACUAGAGGAGAGAAUGAGAUACCUGAAAUGUACCUUUCAACUUUAGGUGGAAGAAAAAUGAAGUCAAUUUCCACUGCAAAGCAUCACAAGUUGGCUUCUCCAGGAAGCAGAUUCUGAAACAGCAGUGAUCAUUUGUUAGAAAGUGCUUAUAGGAUCAACACCCAUGUGGGGAAAGAAACAGAAGCAGGAUGAGCAGAGAGAAAAGUUUCCAAUCCUGCAGGGAACUCUAAUGCUGGAACAGUCCUUCAGAGCCCUGCCUUGGAUCCAGAGAGCCAGGUUUUUAUACCCCUGUAUUAGCCUAUCAUUGUGUUUGGGCUGCCCCAGGAAAGGAGCAGGUGGCUCUUUAGAAGAUUCCUUUCCCAAAGAUGGCUGACAGCUGAGUGCUGGCAAUCGAACCUCCCCAGCAACUGGGGUAUAAAGCCUUCCCACAGUGGACAAGAUAUCUGAGCAGUGCAGCCCACGGUCAGGACUGAAGUCCCAUCACUUCUCACAACUUCCACUGCAACCAUCUCCAUCAAGCCAACACUGGGUCAUUCCUGGACUAUUGCAAUAGCACCCUGGAUGGCUUCCUUACUUCAGGUUUUGCCUGCAUACACCACAUCAGCCACAUCACAGAAGGAGUCCGCUUCUUAAAAACAAAGAAGAUGGGAAAUAAACAAUCAGAGAGCAGAUUAUAUGAAAUCCAAAGGAAGAGAAAAUUUUAUGAAGAAGCCAUUAUCUGAGACUUUUCAUUGGAUCUGAACUAGGUCAAGUCAGGCAAUGUAGUACAGAAGGUGGAUGGAUAAAAAUGGCAACAGAGGAGUUCCUACUGCAAAACAAUGGGAUUGGCAGUGUCUCUGCAGUGCAAGGACACAGGUUUGAUCCCUGCCCUGGUACAGUGGGUUAAAGGAUCUGACAAUGCCACAGCUGCAGGGUAGGUUGCAGCUGUGGCUCAGAUCUGAUGCCUGGUCCAGGAACUCCAUAUGUUGUGGGGCAGUCAAAAAAGAAAAAAGGCCACAAAGUAGUUAAAAGGGUGUUAUUUUGGUGUGUGAGUCAGGGUUGGUGUUUUCUGUGGCCAUACAUCAUGCUGCAGAGAUGUUGGAUCUGGAAUAUGAACAUCACAUUCAAGAUGUGGAAAGAAGCAAGAAGAUAUCUAAACAGAUAAGUUAAAAGUAAAACCAGAAUGGAAUUGUUGAGCAAAAAACAAACUACAGCUGAUUUCACUAGUUUCCUUUGUUUUCACUGAGAGCAAAGGAAAUGCCUCUUACUUGGUUUGGGUAGUGCAUAUGCCCAGGUCACAACAGAAAUGAGUGUGUGCACAGAAUGGCCCAACUCAGGCUCAGAACUAGGCAUUCAAAUAUUGUCCAUACACACGAUCACUGCCUGAGCCAGAAGUCAUGCAGGAGCUGAUAGCUGUUGGAGUGGUGUUGGUGUUGACUACAUGGUGCAUAGUAGUGGAGGUGAUUGUGCAAGUGGCAGGAGUUAUGGUGUUCAUAACCACAGUGGUGGUAGUAGGAAAGUGUUGAUGAUACAGUUCUUAUAAAUAGUAUGCUUGGUAUUGGGAGAUAUGUCCAUAGGGACCCUGAGAAGUCCUGAAAUCAGAGAUAAUAGAGAACUCCUUAUAGAAAUGGCUUUCAGUUAGGAACUGGGCCAGUUUUAAAAGCAACAGAUAGAUUCUGGACAGAUGAUGUGAGGAAACCAGACUUUGGGUGAAAACUGUUAUGUACAUGGUCACAGAGAGAGACUAAUAUUCCUGAACUCUUUUGAUGUACCUAUUACCCCCACAUCUCUAGUCACCUCUAAGAUGGGCUCACUCUUUCCCCUCUUUGCCUCAGAACCCUAAGUUUGGACCUAGCUAAAAGCUUCAAGCGCAUUGAACUUGACCUCAAAAUGAAGGGAGAAAGAAAGGCUGGUCCUGAAAGAAAAUUUCCCUCUGCCUUUUUGGUUUUUGAGAUUUAUAAAAUUGAUGAUGCUCUUC